rnacentral:rRNA from 1 species
AUUGAACGCUGGCGGCAUGCCUAACACAUGCAAGUCGAACGAUUGGCGGACGUGUGAGUAAUGUCUGUGAAACUGCCCGAUGUAUGGGGAUAACUUCUGGAAACGGUAGCUAAUACCGCAUACCAUCGGAUGUGCCCAGAUGGGCUGAGCUAGUAGGUGGGGUAAUGGCUCACCUCGGCGACGAUUCCUAGCUGGUCUGAGAGGAGGACCAGCCACACUGGAACUGAGACACGGUCCAGACUCCUACGGGAGUAAGCAGUGGGGAAUAUUGCACAAUGGGAGAAAGGCUGAUGCCGCCAUGCCGCGUGUAUGAAGAAGGCCUUAGGGUUGUAAAGUACUUUCAGCGAGGAGGCGUUACUCGCAGAAGAAGCACCGGCUAACUCCGUGCCAGCAGCCGCGGUAAUAC